GCGGCGGAUGGGUGAGUAACACGUGGGCAACCUGCCUGUAAGAUUGGGAUAACUUGCGGAAACGUGAGCUAAUACCAAAUAAAGCUCUUCAUCCCCUGAUGAGAAGAUGAAAGAUGGCUCCGGCUAUCACUUACAGAUGGGCCCGUGGCGCAUUAGCUAGUUGGUAGGAUAAAAGCUUACCAAGGCAACGAUGCGUAGCCGACCUGAGAGGGUGAUCGGCCACACUGGGACUGAGACACGGCCCAGACUCCUACGGGAGGCAGCAGUAGGGAAUCUUCCGCAAUGGACGCAAGUCUGACGGAGCAACGCCGCGUGAGUGAUGAAGGUUUUCGGAUCGUAAAACUCUGUUGUUAGGGAAGAACAAGUACCGUUCGAAUAGGUCGGUACCUUGACGGUACCUAACCAGAAAGCCCCGGCUAACUACGUGCCAGCAGCCGCGGUAAUACGUAGGGGGCAAGCGUUGUCCGGAAUUAUUGGGCGUAAAGCGCGCGCAGGCGGUCCUUUAAGUCUGAUGUGAAAGCCCACG
rnacentral:rRNA from 1 species